rnacentral:rRNA from 1 species
AUAAGCGGAGGAAAAGAAACCAACAGGGAUUGCCCUAGUAACGGCGAGUGAAGCGGCAAUAGCUCAGAUUUGAAAUCUGGUCCUUUCAGGGCCCGAGUUGUAAUCUGCAGAGGAUGCUUCGGUGUCAGCCUCGGCCUAAGUUCCUUGGAACAGGACGUCACAGAGGGUGAGAAUCCCGUAUGUGGUCGGCUGCUUUCACCAUGUGAAGCUCCUUCGACGAGUCGAGUUGUUUGGGAAUGCAGCUCUAAAUGGGAGGUAAAUUUCUUCUAAAGCUAAAUAUUGGCCAGAGACCGAUAGCGCACAAGUAGAGUGAUCGAAAGAUGAAAAGCACUUUGGAAAGAGAGUUAAAAAGCACGUGAAAUUGUUGAAAGGGAAGCGCUUGCAAUCAGACUUGAUCGCGAUGGCUUAUCCAAGCUAUAACGGCUUGGUGCACUCCUUCGUAAUCAGGCCAGCAUCAGUUCGGGCAGCUGGAUAAAGAAUUUGGGAAUGUGGCUCUCUUCGGGGAGUGUUAUAGCCCAGAUUGUAAUGCAGUUAGCCUGGACUGAGGUCCGCGCUUCGGCUAGGAUGCUGGCGUAAUGGUUGUAAGCGGCCCGUCUUGAAACACGGACCAAGGAGUCUAACAUCUAUGCAAGUGUUUGGGUGUUAAACCCAUACGCGUAAUGAAAGUGAACGGAGGUGGGAACCCGCAAGGGCGCACCAUCGACCGAUCCUGAUGUCUUCGGAUGGAUUUGAGUAAGAGCAUAGCUGUUGGGACCCGAAAGAUGGUGAACUAUGCGUGGGUAGGGUGAAGCCAGAGGAAACUCUGGUGGAGGCUCGCAGCGGUUCUGACGUGCAAAUCGAUCGUCAAACCUGCGCAUAGGGGCGAAAGACUAAUCGAACCAUCUA